AAGCCAAGGCAAUGCCGACGAGUGCUUCUUCCCCGCCAGCGACAAGUGCUCCCAUUCCUCGUCUGAAGAAACCGCCUGAUCCUCCUCCUCCCCUCCCCCCCUUCUCCUGAGCUCCUCCUCCAAGGCCCCGCUACUGAAGGGGCAUCUCCCUCUUCGGGAGCAGCCUCUUCUCCCCUCGACAAAAGCCAAACUCGCACUGCUACCUCCUUGCAAGCGCAUAAAGUCUCACCCUUUUGGGCAAGCCUCCUCAGGCAAUCCUCUUCAGAUGACCCUUGGCGUUUCGACACGGAGCUGGCAGAGAAGAUCGCUAGGAUUCAAAAGAGCUCCAAGCACGUCGCGGUCCUAAAUCCAGAGGAAGUGCAGAAUGCAAGGAGUCACUGACAACUCUACAAAUUUUUCGGCAAAGCACGCCCUUUGGAGUUCAUCAAAGGGGAGCCAUGGUUCCUUCGCGGACAUGCUCUCAACCUCUUCCCAAGGAGAGCAAACUUCCGACCUUUGAAGGAAAACGUAAAGUCUGCCCCCAAUCUGGAUCCAUCUUCCUAGCCUCCCCAUUGAACUGAUGUACCAUCGCGCUCUCCUCCAAAUCGCCGAUAGCAUUGGAUCAGCUGUCAAAGUUGAUGCUGUCACCACCUCUGGAACUAGAGCGAGGCUUGUUGGCCAUAAAAUCGAUCAAUGCAACCAAAGCAAGCCGCCGGAGCAAACGGCCGCCCCUGGCAAGGAUGCCGCAGGUGGGCAUUGGCUCUGUUACAGAGAUUGGCACGAACGGAGAACACCCACUGUACGGGCCCUGGUUCAAAGGCCAACACAAAUCCUGUUACAGUAGUCGUUUUGGCGCAACAUCGGUCCACUCCAGCGCCUCACCUCAGCCCACUGAACCCGCUCCGGCCACCUCGCAGCCUGGUGAAUCCCGUACCAAACGGGCCUUUGCUUUCUCCUGUUUCCCGCCAUCCCGUUCCAUCUUCGGGUCACCCUUUCAAACCAGCAUUAAACCCCGAUGGUGCUUCCCCAGAUUGUAUUAGUUCUUCCCCUCCUUUCCAAUACUGCGUCAUUGGAGAUGCGCCCCUCCACCCUGACAUGCCACCGGUGCUAACGUCUUAGGAUGCCGCCUACUCGACUGUCACACCCUCCUUUGUAAAGGGACGACAACCCCUCGCCCACCCUGCAAACAAGCACAACCCCGUUUCCUCACGCUUCUCUAGAUGUCAUCGCCUCGCCCCAUUUCCUCACCAACACAUCCCCCCAAACCCAUUCUCCAUUAUCCCUCAACCCACAUUCUCUAGAUGGAGCAGUUUGCCCGGCUUAAGGUCGGUCUGGUGGAAUCAUCGUCGCUUGGAACCCCGGUACUCUCAAAGCUUCCCCUGUUAGUAUCUCACAACAUUCUUUGCACUUAAUGGUGGAAUAGAGAGGUACGCACCCCUGACCUCUCUCAGCAGUCUACAUAAUUACUGAUGCUUCUCAACGCAAUGCUCACUGGCGUUUUCUUUCGAAUUUUGAUCUCUCGGAUCUACCUUGGUUGAUUUGUGUGGAUUUUAACUGUCUUAAUUCUACUUCUAAUAAACUGGGGGGUGAUACACCCUUCUUAUCCUGUUUUUCUAGACAGAUUCACCUGAAAAUGGCUUGCUAAAGCCAAGAUCAAUUGUCUCAGGGAUGCUGAUAAAACACCAGCUUCUUCCAUAACACAAUCAGACAAAGGAGAUCUAUUUAUAUUCACCACAUUAAGAGGGAGGAUGGAUCCAUGGUGGAGGACUUGGCCUCUAUAUCCUCUGUUUUCACUGACAUGAUCUCGCUCUUGUCUCUGCAAGAGUUCGUAUUCUAGACCUUUGUCCAAGGAAAGUUUUGUGUUUUCGUUUUAUGUUUCAUCUUUUAUAUCAACUCUCUUUAUAUGGCUUGGGUUAUUCAUCAAGUUACACUCAAGUUGUUCCCUUCCUUGACUUGCAUUGAGUUAUUGAGUUAUGAUGGUUCUUGCUGUCAUCAUUUUACGACUUAGUUAUUUGUUGAGUCUGAUCUUCAUUUCGGCUUCAAGUGUGUUUUCAUUUGUAUUGUCCUAGAUCGCUCCUCACUUGAUCUUGCAAUAUAUUAUCAAAUGCGAGAUCAUUAUCAUAAUCUUGUUAACUGGCCGACCCUCCCCAGACACUCACCAAUCCUUUCACCUUCAAUGAAUUCCAUCUCGCCUUAAUGGGCAUGGGAUGAGCCCUCAGCCCCUCUAUCAUGCUUUCAAUGAGAUUCAUACCACAUCCACCCUUCCUUCUUGGAUCAAAAUUAAUCUGGUUUUCAUUCCCUAAAUCCCUAAUCCUUCCGAGGAUUCAAACUAAAGACUCAUCUCUCUCUGCAGUAUCCUUAUCUAAAGAAUAGACUCGAGCUCCUUUUUGAUUUGGUUAUUGAACAAAAUCAAUUUGCUUUCAAUACCGUCAUAUCCAUCCGCAAUAACAUAUCAAUCGGAUAUAAAUUGGCCCACUCCAUGUUUCUCUCCCGGAUCCGUUUCAGUAUCUCAUUGACCAUCUUCUCAUUUUUGAUAGAUAGAGAUUCCCUUCAAAUUGGUUUAAAAGCUCCAGGGUUGAGGCAGGGGUCCCUCUCUCUUCCCUCCUCUUCCUCAUGGUCUAACAAAACCUCACCAAUAUGCCUGAGGAAUUUGUAGCUAAAAAGAUCACAUCUGAUCAUGGUUUGUAAUAUCGUACCAUACCGCUCGAUACAGGUGGUACGAAUUGAGCCAAUAGAGGAUUGAUAUGGGCAGUACGUCAAUACACUUUAGUGUAGCUAUCGUGCCGAUAGCUGAUCGGUAUACCGGUAUGGUAUGGUAUUUAGAAUCUUACCUUUGACAACAUUAAAGGGGUAAGAUCUUUCACCUUAUUUUCCAAACCUCAUUAAAGGCCUCAACAUCUAUUCCUCCGUAACUGGACUCCAAAUCAACAAGAGUAAGUCAGCUGUCCUUCCCAAGUCCUGUAGUCCUGAUACCAAAUAUAGGAAUUGCAACAUCCUAGAGAUUAGAGAGAGGGAUCCUGGCCUCUAAACAAUCUGGGAGCUUACGUCCACUACUGUCGGUUCCCUAUCAGGUUUCAGGACCUUCUCACCCAAAAAGCUCUCAACAGAUUCAAUGAUUGGAAUUGAGGGGCCUGUGAUAUCACAAGCAGGCAAAACUAUUCUAAUCAUUCCCUUGCACAUGCUCAUGAACACCUGGAUCUCUGAUAAACACAUAUCUACUAUUUCUAAAUUCUCUUGUUGCUUUUUCCUGAAACCCUUAUCAGUCUCACAACAAAAUAUCCCCCAUCAGUUUGAACUGCAUCACCAGUCCGAAAGCUGAAGGUAAUCUAGGAAUUAGGGAGAUUAUAUUGAUCAAAACCACUAUCUGCACCAAGAAACUUCUAUCCCUUCCUAACAACUCUUCUAACCUUUCAGCUAGACUCCUAUCGACCAAAUAUAGUGUCAUUCACCCAUGGCAGACACCCAACAGCAAGAAAAACCAUCGCAACGUCCUCGACAGAUCCAAGCUGGGAUUUAGGAAAAUCCUCAAUCUGGAACGACCCUUGAAUCACUAAUAGUCUCCUCUCCUACUGUCUUGCAUUCAUUAAUCGGGACACUCUCAACUCAUAUCGGUGGGUUAGUGAUCUCAUGAACAGUAACCUUUGGAACAUCAGCCUAUUUGAUUCUCUCUUUCGCCAUGAACUCACCCAGGCCAUCCUCUCCAUAUUCCUCCUUUUCAAUCCCAAUUAUUAUUUAUGAGUCUGCCUACUGGCUUGGGUGGAUGGUGAUGUAGCUACCUGUGAUUCCUCGAGUCAAAAAUUUUCUUUGGAAGCUCCGGUGAGAAAAAAAGCUCCCCACCUCUGAAUUCAUUGCCCCUUUCUUGCAUAAUUAUAUAUCUACCUCUUGCUCUUGCAACUCCAGUCAAGAUUCGGUUAAACUUAAACAUAUCUUCGUAAAAUGAACUACUGGCAUCUUGCUAGCUCCAAACUAUCUUACAGCUUUCGUCUCUUUUGGCUUUUGGAGGAAGGGGAUGAGCUUGACUUUCACAAGGACUCUUAUUGCAAAUUAUCUUUGGCUUAUUUGGAAACAUAUGAAUGAAGCCAAAUCAUCCAUACCCCCUUUAACUUCACUCUUUAUUGAGAUAGCUCUUUUCCUUCUCUGCAGGAUCAAGAACCCUAGUGGCAGGCACUUCCUCCUCCUCCUCCUCCUCCACAACACUGAAGACGUCAGAGCUGUCUCACUGCGUAGGCUCAAAGAUCCUUGAAGUCUUCGCGGAUUCUAUGACCCUUGGGAACAUCCCAACCAAACGUUCCAACAUCCUGUACCCCUUCUGCAAGGAUAUUUUGUACUUGGCUUCUGCUGUGCAUGUCACUCACUGUAGUCAUAUCAGCAGAACAAUCAACACAAUAGCUCACAGCAUAAUUAAUUUUGCCAGACUGGCAAUUCUUUUUA